rnacentral:lncRNA from 1 species
AAGUACUUUAGAUUAAAAAAUUUCAACAUUGUUUACUGAAUUACAAAAGAAAUAGCUCCUUCGAACUUCAAUUAAGUUCACAACUUCCAAAAUGAACAUCAUUUUACAUAUAUAUAUAUACUUCAUAACAUAAUAAUCUUCACAUCCAAAAAAGCCUUCACAUUAGAGCUUUGAUUUUCCACCUUCUUUAAUUUUGAAAAUGCCAGCAAAAACAGUAGGUUCAUCGUCAACAACAUCUUAUCUGCAUUCAAAAUUAAUUAAUUAAAAACAUAUGAGAAGAAAAUGAGCAUCAGGUCUAAGCAAAUAAAGUACAAAGAUUUGGCACUCUUCCCAUUUAUUUGCCAAGCAACCACCUACAUACUAACCUAGCCAAUACACCAUGACAACUGUACUACUCUUAAACAUUGAUGGGAAGGAGUUUUUCAGCCACUUUACUCAAAACAAUACUAUAUGCAUCACUAACAAGUCACCUAAAAAAUUUCAGCAAUUCUAACUUGCUCUUGUUGGGAUAUGAUUUUAUCUUUUUUACUAAUUUUAUUACAUCAAACUAGUGAAACUAACCUGAAUCACAUGUUGGUUUGACCAACAUUGGUACUUUGAUGUUGUGCCAUAAGGAUCUCCAACAUCCGUCCUUGUUCUGCAACUUGCCUUUGUGUGGCAUUCAUCUGGUCUUGUUGUGUUUGUUGGAGCACUCGUAACUCUGCAAGUUCUGCUUCAACAUCUUCAGCUCUCCUCCUCUAAUGAUAUAACCUCUGGAUGGUUGUUUCCAGCCCAACCUCUUCUUGAUGGAGCUACUUCGCCAUGCCCAUGUCCACGA